GUUAAAACAUUUAUAAAAUGUUUUUAAUAAGUGUUUAUGCUAGCCAAAAAAUAAAAAAAACUAUUUUGUUUAUAGAUAGCACAGUUUAUAAGAUGCUGAGUCAAAAUCGCUUCUAAGUUUCUUUUUGUGUUGUGGCUCUAGACUUGAUUUAAAUAACAUUAUUAGCCCGUUCACAUGGCCAAACGAAAAAGAGACUUUUUGUAAAAAGGCUGGGCCAAAAAAAGAGGCAUUAUUUGGCCAAAAUUGGCGUGCGUUUACAUGGCCAUUCAGCACCGUUUUUUAUUAUUUAGUUCGCAUGUGGGACUUCCCCGUGAACGUAACUUUUUGGUUUAGUAUGAUAUUGGAAUCAAGUUUGAGCAAUAUGGAUAGUAAUUUUUCUGUUGCAAUUUAUCGAAGAACCAUGUUAAAGUUAGUACGGCAAAGAAGAAAAAUGAUACUAGGUUGGAAACAAAAGAGCUAGGAGACGGAAAUUUUGUAUUUUGUUAAUUAAAACUACUUUUGUUUUGCUUAAGAGAGCACAACGUUUUUGGAUGCUGCAAAGGUGAGUUUAUUUAUACCUAAGUUUGUGUUUACAGUCCGACAUUAAACAUUUUAAGGUCAUCGCGGUGGUGGGAGUUCGUUAGCAAUAACUACACUGAUGAGUUCUGAUUUAAGGAUUUUAGAUUAUCAAAAAACACCUUUAAUCAAAUUGUUGACAUGGUGAGAACUGAAUUAAGACCAGAUGAAAGGUCUGUUCGACAACCAAUUCCUGUGGAAAAAGUGGUUGCUAUAGCAUUGUUUCAAGGUCUUCUGGUGAAUACAGAACAACCGGAAUUGUUUUUGGAGUUUCUAAAGCUUCAGUUCACAAAUGUUUGCAUAGGUAUGCCAUAUUGCGGUUGCUCCACCGAGUCAUGGUUAUGCUGACUACAUAAAUUGCAAAAUGUUUCCUUCUAUAGUUCUCCAAGCUGUGGUUGACGGACAGUACAGGUGAUUAUUUAAAAUAUUUUAAUGAAGAAAAAAAAAUAUGUUACCAGAUUUUGUUUACAGAUUUCUAAACAUUAAUGCGUGUAUGCCGGGAUCGAGUCAUGAUGCUGCAGUAUUAUAAGCAAUCGAGCAUAUACAGAAUGGCACAAUCUGUAUUGCCUGUAGUAAGUAUAAAUUGUUUGCAGAAUGUUAUGGAAGUUCACAUUCAUUUCAAGUGUAAUUGCCGGGAUCCAUAUUUAUAAAUGAUGUAGAGAUUCCAUUAAUAAUUGCUGGGGAUGCAGCAUAUCCACUUCUUCCUUGGCUAAUGAAACCAUAUGUGGGAACCAACUUGACAGAUCAACAAAUGUCAUUCAACUGUUACCACAGCAGUUCCAGGAUUGUGGUUGAAAAUGCCUUUGGAAGAUUGAAGGCAAGGUGGAGAAUCUUGCAAAAACCUAUUCCUGUUGCUGCAGCUCCUAUGGUACUUACUGCUUGCUGUAUUCUCCACAAUAUAUGUGAAAACCAGCAAAUGCCAGACCCACCAGAAUUUAAUGUAGUGCAAGAAAAUGCUGUACCCAAUGCUACAAUAAGCCGAAAUGAGCGAAGCUUGGUUCGCGACACAAUUUGUAAAUUUCUAUCUGACAAUUACCCAUUGAGAACAAGUUCUCGUUUUUGAAUUUUAUUGAAAAGGACAAUUUUGUGAAAAAACAGUACGAUGAACUUAAAAUGUAAAAACUGAGGUAACAAAUGAAAAGAAAUGUACUUGAAAAAACAGUGCGAAACAUGUAAAUGCAGCGAAAGAAAGUGAAAACUGUAAAAAUGUAUCUACAUUAGAAUGAGCUUAUUCAUUCGGAGU